CCCAGGAACCAGCAGAUCCGCUGUGCACUUCCUUGCCGUGCUGGGCGUGGCCUUUGCCCUAACAUGAAGCCUUUUCACAUGGGGACUCAGUGCUGUAAUCAAAGGUGUUGAGACACUGAAGGAUGAUAUUUACCAGCAACCAGUGUUUUUUAGGGGGGGGGACACUGGUUACCAUGGAAACAUUGUCAGCCUCAAGUGACUGUCAUGAGGUGAAAAAAUACUCUUAAAAUAAAUGAAACCAGAAAAGGCGUAUUUAUAAAUCUCUUUCUAACCACCUAUCUGUUCGAAGGGUAGAGUGUGUUUUUUUAAGCUAUAGAUAUUCCAAAAAAUGGAGGAACUUUUAAGGCAGAGUUUUUCUUCAUUACAAAGACUGAGCCAAGUGGGAUAGGAUGUAUAGGCCUGUAAUCCCAGCUCAGGAAGCUGAGGACAGGAUGUCAAGACCUGCCUGGGCUACAUGGGGAGACAGGCAGACCUCAUUUCAAAAACACCAAAAAUAGAUAAUUUUAAGGACCACCACAUGACUUGCUUCUCUCCACCCCCUUCUGAGGACUGAACCUAUGGGCUUGCCCAGGCUAGGCAAGCAAACUCUUCCGCUGUGAGCUAUACCAUUGGACUUUACUCAGCUAUAGCUUUGAAAUUGUGUACACUUUGGGGAGUCAAAUACCUUACUCAAAACUAAUAGAAGGGUACUUUGGGAGGGGGAACUAAAAGAUUUUAUGUCUGAGUUGUGCAAAUUACUUCUGGACAAAUCAAUAAGCCAUGGGAAAAGGAUUUCAGUCACAGAGAUGAAGAACACUUGGGCACAGAACUUGCGUUGCUCCAAGGGUGCUCCAGUAUUGUUCACUUCCUUGCAAACAGAACCACAGUUUUAUUGCAGCAUUGAUUUGCCCAGAUGCACUCAAUUUCAUGCCCUCUCUUUUGGCUAGAGGUAGACCUGCGAGAUAGCCCUGUCCAAAAAAGACACUGAAGUUCCUGAAAAGGAGAAUAUUGGAAACAGUUCUGCAUACUCCCACAGUUCCGUGUAACUUGUGACCAGAGAUACGGAUCACUUGUCAUGUGACCAUCUUUCCAAGGGUGUGUGGGUGAUACACAGCCUUGGAAAAGUAGAUUUGCUAUGUCUCUAAAGCAAGAGGGGGUCUUGCUUGGAACCUGGAAGACAGAGCAAAGGAUAGGCCUGUCUUCGGCCUCUUGGGUGAGAUGUGGGGUCCAUUAGCUCGGGGUUCAUGUCUUCUGAAGUAGCCACUGACUAGGCAAGCAUCCCUGCAGGCUCAGCUGCAGCUCCUGUGAUUGCAGGCCUUGAGAGACUGCCACAGACAUGCUGGUGUGUGUGUGUGCGUGUGUGUGCUGUGUAUGUAUGUGUGUGCUAUGUGAUAUAUAUAUAUAUAUAUAUAUAUAUAUAUAUAUAUAUUAUGUAUGUCGUGUGUAUGUGUUGUGUGUGUGGUGUGUAUGAGAAAGAUGAUUGUGUAGGUAUAAUGUAUGUGUGUUGUAUAUGUUGUAUGUGUUUAUGUUGUAUCUCUCUGUGUGUGUGGUGUAUAUGUGUGAGCAUCAGGUAUCUUCCUUUAUCAUUCUCUGCCUCAUUCCUUUUUUAUUCCAGUGAGUUCUAACCAUCCUCCUGCCACAGCCUCCCUUAUGCUGGGGUCAUGGCUGUAGAUACCCAGCUUCUCUGGUCCUGUUGCCUUGCAGCAAGCAGUUGUAACCCCUGAGCCAUCACUCCAGCACCCACACACACACACACACACACACACACACACACACACACACACACGCACGCACGCACGCACGCACGCACGCACACACACACACACACAGGCACACACACACAGAGUUAUUAGAUUCAGAGGGGUAUAAAGUAGAGUGAUAUUUCCAAGUGCUUAGGAAUAAGAAGAAAGUGAUUAUUGCUUGUUGGUACAGUUUCUGUGCAGAUAAAGUUCUAGAAUCAUGAUGGUUGUGAGACACCAGAAAUGUGUUCCAUGUCAAUGAAUCGUGAAUGAGUGAAAUUGCACAUGGUGGUGCACAGCCUUACUCUCCGGUCUUGGUGGGCAAAUGCAAGCAGAGCUCUGUGUGGGUUCCAAACCAUCUUGCUCUACGUAACAAAUUCUAGGCCAGCCUAGAAACCUCUCUAAAAACAACAAAAGAAUGGUUCAAAUAAUAACAUAUAUUAAGUUACAUAUAUUUAUCACAAAAAAUCUGGAGCUGGGGUGAUAGCUCAAAGUGUUUGCUGUGUAUGCAUAAGGACCUGAGUUUGGUCCCCCAGACCCACAUUUAAAUUAAAAACAACAGCAACAAAGGUAGUGUAUGCUUGUAACUCCAACCUGGAAGGCAGACACAGGAGGAUUCCUGGGGCUCAUGGACCACUCAUCUAAAGCUUCUGCCAGAGAGAAACCUUGUCUGAGAGAACAAGAUUUUUUGGUUUCUGAGGAACAACAUCCAAGAUUGACCUCUGGCUUUCACAUGUAUGCUCUUACGUGUGCACUACACAAACCUUCUUCACUACCACCCCCCCCACACACACACACACACGUGCGUGAAGUCAGUAAAACCCAAAGAGGUAGGUUUUGUUUAUAUGAGGAGGGAAAUGAAACAUUUUUAAGUCUUUAUUUAUGAGUUUAUUUUAGGGUAUUCUGGAUUUGCUGCACACCUGCUGCUGGUGGAGCAGAGCAACCAAGACACAUGGAUCAAGGGUGCUCUUAGGCGAGGCUCGCACAAUCCUCAGUGGCAUCUACCUCUCCUGGGGCUUUUCUUAUCUAUCUGUUUUAUUUCAAUUCUUAAGCUCUUGGGAGUAACAGAGCAUCCCCAGCCCCUGAGUGUGUGUUAAGUCAGAAUUUGUGGGUGGAAAUAAUAUGGUAGGGUUCCUUCCAUUCCUAUCGUCUGUUUAUUUUCCUUUCCUGUGUAUUUCAUACCGUGGUGUGGAGAUUUCUGAUUCAGCAGUUAGAAUAGUCUCUGUGUUAGUUAUCACUUCCUCGUGACCCACUUUAGACCCAAUUACUCAUUCUGGCGUUUGGAGUUCAAGUUUCAAAAGAUUAUUUUCUGCAACUGAAUUAUGUGUCUGAGGGAGAAAAGGGAUGGAGAAAACAGUGAGAGAGUUCCUGCUCCCUCUCAUUCUCCUGCAAAUGCUCUCUCACUCUUCCCUUUCCAGUCACCCCACAACUGUCACUCCACAUGUCCUGACUCUCACUUCCCUCCUAGGAAAUUCCUCCACAUAUCACCAGGUGCUCAGCUGGGGACACAGUGAGCCAGGUCCCUGCUCCUGGGAGGCUACACCAGUGUGUUUUUUUCUCCUACUGUGAAGACCAACAAGAGUCUGGAACAGGGAUUCCAAUUCAGUGGGCCAGCACUUGUAGACGCUCCCCUAGAUAAUUCUGAAUUGGACCCUUGGGCCACGUUUUUGAGCAACACUGUGCCUGGAGGAAAAGGAGUUGGACACUUCCAUGCUGCACUGAAGAAACCCCAAUGCACUGAAGGAAACCAGAAAAGGGACAGAUUGAAGUGGUCUGAGAGACGAGGGCUGUCUGUCCUGGACCUGGUUAUUUCUCCGGUGGGAGAGCUGCCCUCCUUUGUGACUUUAUAGGUAAGAGUUGGGAGAGUUAGAAGAUGGGUGUCUGGAGUUGGUGCCAUGUCCUCUAUACCCUUGACCACUUUUUCUGCAAGUGUUAUGGAAUCCUUUGUUGGCUCUCUCGGUUUAGUCAGGACUCAGUGAUUUGCCCAGGCAGACCCCACCUUAGCUCUGACUGUGUCUCCAUUAGUGCCCCAGAGAAAACUCUGACCCUUGACUCCAGCAUCUCCACGACAGAUGUGAACUUUUGUGCUUUCUCCAUACCACAUGGAAGUGGAGGGGAGGGGGGGUCAGAGAAGCCAAACCCCAGACCUCUACCCAACCACACCUUUUUUGUUACUAAAGCUCGAAUCAGGCUAUGAGAGGAAUUCUCCUUUCCAAUUUCAGAUAUGAAGCAGAAAUCCCAGGUCUGGUAUUCAUAUCAAUCUUUCUGAGGAACGGAUUGGCCGUCUUUUAUCCUGCCCUUCCACCCCUGCACAGGGACUCUAAGAAGGCCACAAUUACUGCACCUCCCUCCAUUUGGCUGUCAGCCUUCCCACCUGGAAGCAGACGACACUUCCUGUCCUGACCAGGCUGGCCUCCAGUGUGCUUUGAGCAACAGAAUGAUGUUGAAAGUGCAACUUACAAGAGAUGACGUUCCGGUACUCCUGGGGCCACACAUGGAGUGCACUGCCACUUUUUCUCUCACAGGAAAGAAAUCCAACCACACAGAGAUCGCCAAGCUACGCCAAAGCCCAAAUUAUCCACACAGAAGCUCCAUGAAGAAGACAGUGAGGCCCAGAGAAUUGGCUAAAGGCACGAAAUAUUCAAGUAAAGAAGGUUUUUGUUUUGCUUUGUUUUGUUUUGAGUGUUCAAACCCCAAAUUACGCUCUAUAACCAGAACCACCCAGCUGCACUCAGCUCAGACUGUAGAAUUAUGGGAAAUGAUAAAAUGGAGCCUCACACCCACAUCCCAGACCGGAAGAAACAACAAGUGUCAGCAUCCCUUCAUCUCACCAACCAGAGCUAUGCCACAAGGACACCCACAGCUAAGGACAGCAAACACCUUGGAGAAUCUCAACUUUGACCCGGAAGUACUCACUACCUGGAACUGUCUGCCUGAGGGUACCAGGGAGAAAACAUGGGUUGUGACUAGUGUUCUCCUCAUUCUCCACCUAUAAAAAGGGGUUAGAACUUACCUUGAUGACUUGUUGAAUUUCAGAGAGACUAUGGGCAAACAUCAUAGUACCCAAGGCAUAACGGCACUCAGGAAAAGCCGUUAUAUCUUGAAUUUCCAGAAGUGGCCGUUAGCAGGGAGUUUUCCUGAAGGUGCUAAAAAUGUAUAAUAGAGACAUGGUUUGGACUCUUCAGUUCUUUUACAUUGAAUUCACUUCUUGGUUAAUAAAUCUUUUCUUGAUAGUCUAUUCAACCACUAAUAAAUCCAGCUGGAUUGUCAUUAUGACUCUUCACUUACAUGUGACACAUGAAAAAAC
rnacentral:lncRNA from 1 species